rnacentral:tRNA from 1 species
ACCGAGAUAGCUCAGUUGGGAGAGAGUUACACUAUAUAUAUCGAAACGUCCCUGGUUCGAUCCCGGGUUCCGGCA